GCCACCUUAGCUCAGCUGGUAGAGCAACUGAUUUGUAAUCAGUAGGUCGCCAGUUCGAUUCUGGCAGGUGGCUC
rnacentral:tRNA from 1 species